UACCAUUGAAAAAAACUGUCAGUGCCGGUCUUCAUAACAUGGUGCGUGUCAGCUGGGUCUGGUCUACUUAGUUCAUCGACUUUCAUUGAACAAAAAAAACAAAAAAAACUGCGAGUGGUAUGUCUCGCUUCCUCUUCCGUCGCUGGCUCGCACUGUCUGAUCGAAAUUAGUAGCUUUCAGCUGCCAGCCGUAGCCCAUUAUUUAAGUGCCGCUGAGAAUUCUUUGCAAUACAAUUGCAAAAUUACCAAUUUCCAGACCGUUUUGCAGGGUUCCAGACCGUUUUGCAAGGUGUGCAAUUGUAAUAUUGCUCUUUGCACGGACACACACGGUCCAAACGCAAAAAGGCUCCAAGUGCAUAAAGAUCGCUGCUUGUAUUUUGCAUCUUUAUUGCAAAGCAAGCCGCUGAAGCAAGCUCCCGUGCGAGGGCGAUGGAGGGAGGGAGUGAGAAAGAAGGCAAAGUCUUUUGUGCUUCCCCUCCCCCCGAUCAAAGUAAAGGGGAAAUGUCUCAGCCAAAGGGAGGUAAGAGGAAGCCGGUGCUCUCGCUCUCCAAGGACGUGUUUGAGCAGCCUCCUGCUGCUGCCGCACCCCCAAGAGAUUUGGAUUCGAAAGCUUGUGUGACCAUCGGAGAGAAGAACUUUGUGGUGAAUGCCGAUGACCUGGAGCAGAUCGACGAGCUGGGAAGAGGGGCGUAUGGUGUGGUGGACAAGAUGAGGCACAUGCCCAGUGGCUUGAUCAUGGCAGUGAAGAGGAUCCGUGCCACAGUGAACACCCAGGAACAGAAGAGACUGCUGAUGGACCUGGACAUCUCAAUGAGGACAGUAGACUGCUUCUACACAGUCACCUUCUACGGCGCACUCUUCAGAGAGGGUGAUGUGUGGAUCUGUAUGGAGCUGAUGGACACUUCUCUGGAUAAAUUCUACAAGCAGGUGAUAGAUAAAGGCAUGACCAUCCCCGAGGACAUACUGGGAAAGAUGGCUGUCUCGGUAGUGAAGGCUUUGGAACAUCUGCACAGUAACCUGUCAGUGAUCCACCGAGAUGUGAAGCCAUCAAAUGUAUUGAUCAACACACAGGGCCAGGUGAAGAUGUGUGACUUUGGGAUCAGUGGUUACCUGGUGGACUCGGUGGCCAAGACCAUAGACGCCGGCUGCAAGCCCUACAUGGCGCCAGAGAGGAUCAACCCAGAGAUUAAUCAGAAAGGCUACAACGUCAAGUCUGACAUUUGGAGUUUAGGAAUCACUAUGAUUGAGCUGGCCAUCUUGCGUUUUCCCUAUGACUCGUGGGGCACCCCUUUCCAGCAGCUGAAGCAGGUGGUGGAGGAACCAUCCCCCCAGCUUCCUGCUGACCAGUUCUCCCCUGAGUUUGUUGACUUCACCUCCCUGUGGUCCAUGUCCGCUUGCAGCUGAUUCAAUCUGGAGUAGAGUGGAGUGGGAGACACAUUACCAGAUAUGAGUCAUCUAACAGUAUCUCUAUAUGAAUCAUAGACAUUGCAGUUGUAAUCCUUUCUCUCAUUGCCCUUUUCAUUCCCAGCUUAAAGAAAAAUUCCAAAGAGCGGCCAAACUACCCAGAACUCAUGCAACACCCUUUUUUCAUCUCCCACGAAUCCAAAGAGACUGACGUGGCUUGCUUUGUCAAGGUCAUCCUCGGGGACUGAUCUAAGACAACGCUCUGACCAAUUGCCACAGGGGGAGGCAGGCCUUUAAAAAAAAAGCACCAAUCGCAAACCCUGUUACCUGCGGGACUCUACAACGCCUCCCCAGUUCCCGACCCCUCCCUCUGGCACAGAUACAAAUGGACAGUAGAGGAACUCCGAGGAGAUGAAUGAUGCCCAACCAUGUUGGAGGAAUGAGGAGUUAGCCUUAAGGCCUCAAGGCCCUCACAUAUUAGAUGUAGGCAGUGGAGCAACGUGUAAUUUACUGUUGUUUUGAGGAUUGGAGGGCCGGGCCAUGUGUAAUCUGGAUUAAUUUAACUGUAUGAAAUGCGACUCCCGCCGACUAAUUUUGUCCCACCCUUGUUACUGUACUAGACCCACUGCUCAAACAGUGAUUUGGAUUUUAGUGAAUUUAGGAACGUGUGGAUUAUGCCCUGUGCUAUUGGUCAAUCUCUAAUAUAUUUUUAAACCUGGUGUGAAAACAUAAAACAGAGUUUUAAAAACAACUAAAAGUGAUAAAUAUACAUAUGUAUAAUCUAAAUGUUUGUAUUAUACUCAAAGAAAGUUGCAUUGGUUUACUAAUAGACUGCACAUGUACAGAACAUAUCUACUAUAUAAUGAGUGGGUUUCAGUCCCCUUAGAUAAACAGAGAGAUUCAAAUUCUAUGACUGUCCAAUGGUUGAGCUGUAGACCGCUAGACAGGCUGGAGGCCUCAGUCAGAACUGCAAUGGGUUCUUCAAAGUAUGUUACUGCAGUUUGCUCUCAACUGCUCUCUAAUGUUGUGGGCUGUGUGUUUGGGUGGGUGGGUGGAAGCCUUCCAUGCUUGUGUUGUGAGAUAUAUGUGGGCGAUGUCAUUGUUGUGGGAGGGGUGCAUCUAAUCCUUCCUAGUCACAUCCUGAAUAUUCUUCUGUUCAACUCGAAUAGAACUGGAGAUAAGUUAUACAGUUAUUAUUUUUAAGAUAUAUAGCUUUUAUUUAUACUGAUGAGAUACAGUAUAUUCCAGUGUGCUUAUUUAUUAACUGCUGUUUUUUUUUCCUUUUGAAAACUUUACAUUAACAAUAGAGAACUUUCUUAUUUUA